GAUGAAGAACGUAGCGAAAUGCGAUAAGUAGUGUGAAUUGCAGAAUUCAGUGAAUCAUCGAAUCUUUGAACGCACAUUGCGCCCUUUGGCAUUCCGAAGGGCACACCUGUCCGAGCGCCGUCGCACAACUGAGGCGCAGCCUUGCGUUGGCGGGCGACUUGUGAGUAGCGAGUCGCCGCCCAAACGAGACGGCGCCGCGCCGCGGCCGACGAAGCACGAAAGCGGAAGUCGACGCGGAGGCGGUUGCCUGUAGGAAGACACAGCUUGGCCUCGGAUCAGGUGGGGAUACCCGCUGAACUUAAGCAUAUCAAUAAGCGGAGGA
rnacentral:misc_RNA from 1 species